AGUUUGAGUUAGUAUGCACGAUACUGCUGAGAUAUUACAUGAAGGGUACUAAAAUUAUUCAAAAAAAAAAUGUUUCUUUUUAAUUGGUUCAGUCAAAUAUUAGUUUUCAGCUUUAAAUACUUGUAAUCAAUAAUAAAUCCCUUGGAGGUUUUGCAGGUCGAUAUUAGAUGGUCUUUAUUUAUGAGGUUGAGCCUGCAAGGUAUGGAAACUUUGUUUGUAUCCGAUUUCCAGUGAUGGUGAUGAUAAAGUAGCUGUAAUCCCUAAACCUGGAAUGGCCAGAUAGUGGUGAAAUGAACUUUUGGUAGCUUUGUCAAUAGGGAUAAUAUAUUUUCUCCCUUGGCUAGUUUCACUUCGAUUUUGGUCUUAAAUUUGAAAAUUAUAAAAGUUUGAUCAUGAUGCACUCUAAGAUCAUGUCACAUAGUCACUUGAAAAUUGUAAAUUUAUAUAAAUUUUUAUGUGAUAAAGUGGAACAAUUUUAGAGUAUCACAUGUAAUGUUUUAAUAAUUGGAUAGGUGGUUGAAUAGGUUAGACCAUUGAUUUCUUAUUCAAUCAGAUUGAUCGGUUCAACCAUUGGACCAACAAUAAUUAAAAAUUCAUAACAAUCUAAAAAAAAUUAAAAAGAUAAAAAAUUAUUAAAUCGGUUCAACAUGUUCAACUGUCAAUUUCUGUUUCGGUUUUUUAUUUUCACCAAUUUCAAGUAGUGUUCGAGUCAAUUGAUUCAACCCAUUUGUUCGAACCGUUAAUCGAUCAGUUCUCGGCCCAUCUAAUUGAUCAUGUUCUAGUAACAUUGGUUAUUUUAUCAAAUCUCGACAGAAUUUGAGUUAAAUGACCAAAAUAAAUCUAAAUACCAAAUUCAAUAAUCAAAAAUAUAAAUAUAAAAAUAAUCCUAAUUAUCAAAUUCAAGUAAAAAAUUAAAUUAUAAUGGUCAAAGUUAAGCCAUUUGUUUAAACCGAAAAGCCUCGGAAAAGAAAUUGAUUAUUUUGAUAUGAAUGGUUUGAAGGUUAUUACCAAACUAAAACUGGAAAAAAAAUUAUUUAUUUUAUUUUUAAUUAUUAUAAAAAGAUAAUUUUUAUACACCUAUAAUAAUAUUUGAGACAUUUCUAACAACAUUUAAAAUUUAGAUCAUAUUUAAUUUUUUAAAUUUUAAAUUUAAAAAUUAAAAUGUAUUAAUAAUGUUAUUACUUAAUAAGACUUAGAUUGCAUUUUUAGUAAAAUUUACAAAUGUAAUUUUUUAUUAAAGACUGUUUUUAUUUAAUAAAUUAAAAUUAAUAUAUUUUCAUAUACAAUUUAAAUAUUUUAUUAAAAUAAUACUUUAAGUAAAAAAUUAUUUUUAUUUCAUGUAAGAAUAGAAUUAUUUUUACUAAAAUGUAAGACAAUAGGAUGUUUUAGAUAACUAAUUUAGUAAAGUUGUUAUUGUUAUUGUUAUAAAUGAAAAGUUGGUAUAGAUAGAAAAAAAUAAAACAUAAAAAACCAGCUUGUUAUAAUGAAAUGUUGUAAUAGAUGUUGGUUGUUAUAAAGAGUUGAUAGAGCCCACACUCUAUCAAUUUGAGAUUGAGCUUAAUAGAUGAUAAGAUAUAAAAGUAACAUGUUUUCAUCUUAUUCUUAAUACGUUUUUGGAUGAUUAAUUAUGCAAAUUAGCGAAUUUCAUGCUUCUAAUCUUUUAAAUUUAUGUUUUUAUAUUUAGGAGAGCAUUUGGGAGCGAAAGGAGCGAAAAACAAGCCAAAAUUGAACAAAUAGAGUUGUUUUCAGGAGCCACACAGGCUGGACACACGCCCAUGUGCCAUCCCAUGUCGAUUUCACAUCCUACUUCCCAAAUAUGAGGAAAACCCUAAUUUUUAAGCUUUCUAAGCAUUCUAAAGUCUAUAAAUACCCAUUAGAAGAAGACAUAAGAGGGCAAUCAGAGAAGAUCGAAGAAAACACUCGAAGAACAGCAUCGCAAUCAACUCAAAAAUGGGUCUCUAUCAAGAUCGAAGACUCUCCUUUUAAUUUCUUUCAAAGUUUUAUUGAGUUUUUUAUGUCUUGUGAUUAUUCUGACUUUGAGAUGUUUUCAUUUAGAAUUAUGAACUAAUUCCCUAGAUACCUAGGGAGGAUGAAACUUAUGAUGAAUUCUUUUAUUUAAUUUUUGUUUUUAUGCGAUAAAUAUUUGAUUCUUGUUCUCAAUUAUGUAUGCUUAUUUCUUAUUUUAAAAUUUUCGGGAAAUUAAUUCAUGUUUAAUGUGCUUACUUCAGUGAGGAAAAGUCCCUGUUUAAUAGUAGAUCUAGCAUAAUUGAGUGAAGUUGCAUGCAAUUCUAGAAAUAGAACGAUAUAAACCUAUAAGAUUAAAGUCAAAUCUAAUAGGAGAAUCCAUAGAUCGAGUUAAUGCGGCAAUAAGGGUUUUAAUUAGAAAGAGAUUUCAACUAAUUAACUAAGAGUCAAUUGUUCUUAACUCGCGAAAGAGAUAUUAACAUAAUUUAGGGAUUUUUACGAAUCAAGACCACAAGUGAAUAAAUCGUUUAACUCAGAUUGAUAAUAAUAGGUGAAGUCUAGGUGGAAUCUUUCCUAGAUAUUGUCUAUCUCAUUGGUUAAUAUUCUACUAUUUCUUUGAUUCAUUCUUUAUUGCGUUCUUGGUUAAAUUAGUUUAGUAAAUUUAGAUUAAAACAUAUCACCCCAAAUUGUUGGCUAAAUAAUAGAAAAACGGUAAUUACUAGUACUUUUAGUCCUCAUGGAUAGAUAUUCCUUACUCAUCAUAGCUAUACUAUUGUUCAAUAGGUUGUCAUAUUUAUAAUUAGUUUUGUAACCAUCAGUAGAGAAGAUCAAGUGGUCGAAAGUUAAGAACGACUAAGUCUGCCUAAUUUGAAAACAUAAAUAUAAUUCGGGUAAAGAGUUUAUUGCUAUAAAUAUCACAACGGCUAGGUUUUUUAAAGAAAAUUUUAAAUUUCCAUUGUGCUUCUAAACAUUGUUUUCAAACAUAUUUUUCCAACAAGGAGAAAGUAAGAAAAGGCUAAGUAAACAUGUGAAAGGCUGCAGUGAGAAAAUGAGAAAAGAUCCAUCAUACAUUUGUGUCUUGGGGUAUAUAUAAGGGAAGACCCUCUUAUCUAGUAGUGUCAUGUCAUUGACAGUAUGAAUAGUGGUCUCCUCGUUGGUGGGCUAGGUGGCAAGUUUGUUAUAUGUUAGUUGUCGUCAAGUAUAGUACUAUGGGGUCUUGCUUUGACAUUUCCUGUAUAAAGAUAGUACGAGAUUGUUAUCUUCUAGUGGUCCCCAUGGACAAUCUGUAUCGAGUGACCAAAAGCAAUGUGGCUCCCCUUGCAAGUGGUGUGAGGCGUGCAGGUGGCAGGUCAUGAAUGAUCAGUCAGAUGGUCACUAUUGAUGGUACCAGAUAAAGGGCUAUCUGUGGGUGCCUCCUAAAUCGCUUCUAAUGCUACAAUAUCUAAUCAGAGAUACAGAUAUAAGAGUUACUUUAAGAAAAAAAAUUAAGUACAAACAAACGAACCCUUAGAUGAAACAAACACAGGAAAAUGCUUUCGUAAAACCUUUUACAUGUAAACAAACGGACCCUUAGAUGAAAAAGUUGUGGAAAAUUUUUCAUAUAAACUUUUCAUGAAGAAAAAAGGGAUUUUUUAU
rnacentral:lncRNA from 1 species